rnacentral:rRNA from 1 species
AACGAACGCUGGCGGCAUGCCUAACACAUGCAAGUCGAACGAGACCUUCGGGUCUAGUGGCGCCCGGGUGCGUAACGCGUGGUAACCUGCCCUUAGGUUCGGAAUAACUCCCCGAAAGGGGUGCUAAUACCGGAUAAUGUCUUCGGCCCAAAGAUUUAUCGCCUUUGGAUGGGCCCGCGUUGGAUUAGCUAGUUGGUAGGGUAAAAGCCUACCAAGGCGACGAUCCAUAGCUGGUCUGAGAGGAUGAUCAGCCACACUGGGACUGAGACACGGCCCAGACUCCUACGGGAGGCAGCAGUGGGGAAUAUUGGACAAUGGGCGAAAGCCUGAUCCAGCAAUGCCGCGUGAGUGAUGAAGGCCUUAGGGUUGUAAAGCUCUUUUACCCGGGAUGAUAAUGACAGUACCGGGAGAAUAAGCUCCGGCUAACUCCGUG